rnacentral:rRNA from 1 species
UACGAAGGGGGCUAGCGUUGCUCGGAAUCACUGGGCGUAAAGGGUGCGUAGGCGGGUCUUUAAGUCCGGGGUGAAAUCCUGGAGCUCAACUCCAGAACUGCCUUUGAUACUGAGGAUCUUGAGUUCGGGAGAGGUGAGUGGAACUGCGAGUGUAGAGGUGAAAUUCGUAGAUAUUCGCAAGAACACCAGUGGCGAAGGCGGCUCGCUGGGCUCUACCUGACGCUGAGGCGCGAAAGCGUGGGGAGCGAACCGG